rnacentral:misc_RNA from 1 species
CCCUAGCCCCGAUUGCAGCAUUUGUUUGAGCUCAUUUUUUUGUUUAGGGGCGGCCUCGUCUUUGACGAGGCCGCCCCUAAACAAAAAAAUAGCGAGUGCGGAAAGCGGGAUUAAGC